UCAAACUUGAGGUAUGCGAGCACCACCAUGCGAGAUUGAGACCUAUCCAUUGUAUUCCAAACCUGCACUUCUUUGAAUAUCCCUCAAAGGGCUGUUUGCUUAUUUUAUAAGUACCUUAAGUUCUUGUGCAAUUAGAGAUGUCAAACGGGUCGAGCGGCUCGUUGGCUCGGCUCGUCAAAUUACGAGCCCGCUCGUCAAAAAAAUUUAAUUUUUUUUUUAAAAUGUCCUAAACGUGCAAUUUACCAAAAAAUAAAAAAUAAAAAAAAUUACGAGCUCACGAGCCGCUCGUGAGCUUGGCUCGGCCC
rnacentral:lncRNA from 1 species